GAUGAAGAACGCAGCGAAAUGCGAUACGUAAUGUGAAUUGCAAAUUCAGUGAAUCAUCGAGUCUUUGAACGCACAUUGCGCCCCCUGGUAUUCCGGGGGGCAUGCCUGUCCGAGCGUCAUUGCUGCCCUCAAGCACGGCUUGUGUGUUGGGCCCCGUCCUCCGAUCCCGGGGGACGGGCCCGAAAGGCAGCGGCGGCACCGCGUCCGGUCCUCGAGCGUAUGGGGCUUUGUCACCCGCUCAGUAGGCCCGGCCGGCGCUUGCCGAUCAACCCAAAUUUUUAUCCAGGUUGACCUCGGAUCAGGUAGGGAUACCCGCUGAACUUAAGCAUAUCAAUAAGCGGAGGA
rnacentral:misc_RNA from 1 species